GGCUUGUCUGAAAGUAGUUAUCUCAAAUGAUUAUUCAUGGUCAUCACAGUCAAUUAAUAGAUUGAAUUCCUUGUUCUACUCUUUCCCUCCCUCGCUUCUCACUAUUGCACUUGACUAGUCCUAA
rnacentral:Y_RNA from 1 species